rnacentral:sRNA from 1 species
CAGAUGUUGAAACUAAGAGAGAUAUUGGGCAAGCUGGUGGCGGGUGGAGACCCUCUGGUCCGGAGAAAGCUUCAUCCAAGCAUCUUCUAGUGAUCGGCCUAGUACAUAUUCCAUCACAAUGUAUAUUCGUGUUGGCAGCGAUAUAUAGCAUGCUGUCGCUUUCUCGGCAACCCUCAUGCGCUUGCUUCCGGACCCGGUGCUCGUUCAAAUGGAUAACCUGUUAUCACAUGAAGAGGGUGAAUCACCGAACACCACAAACAUGAGGAGCAAGCAGCAUGCUUUUGGGAGUGAAGGGGUCCAUUGUAAAAAUAAAUUGCCCGGAUGGUAGCGGAAUAAUCAGGAGAAAGGGGACGAAAGAAGGUUAAUGGAAGCCGAGUUCUUGAGUGGAAAAAAUCAAGGAUCUUAAAACAAUCCAGCAAGCAGUUUUGGACAGUGUUCCGGAGCUGUGUCUUUCGUGUCCUAGUUUAUUCCGAAUUGUGACUUCCGCCGUUUUCGCGUUGACGAUCAACUAUGGGUUUCCUUUGGGGGGGGAGAGUGUUGCGGGCCCGACUAUUCUGAGUGGCAAGUCCAUCACAGCCGAAGGUUAUCAAACUAAUGAUCCUUCUACGUUGUGGGCGAAAUUCAUCACAUUUAUUCGCGUCUUGGAGGUUGAAGCAGAGGUUUUGGAGCGUCAUCCUCCAGGCUCUCAGGCAUAUGGUUGUUCAAGAAACAUGUUAGCUUCAAUCUUCAACCUACUACUCCGUAGUUACUCCGUAGUAUGACACGAGUCGACCCGCAUGGCAUCAACGACUCAUUUUCAGUCCGUGCUCAAGGUUUUUAUCCUAGUGGCUCAACCCCACCGCCACAUAUUUGGUUCUGGUUUUCCACAUUGCUAGACGAACGCUAUGAGCAAUAUAAAGAGAAGAGACAU